rnacentral:tRNA from 1 species
ACAGAGAUGGCCCAGUGGUUAAGAGCACUGGCUACUGUAACAGAAGACCUGGGUUCAAUUCCCAGCCCUGUU